AUAGAGGACUUUCAUCUUUCAGCUUCCUCGGCCCCGGGAGAGUUGGGUACCUGCUCAGCGAGGGCAUUUUCUCUAUACAAGAAGAAGACGGAGACUCGCUACCCACCCGAUAUAUUUUGUCGGACAGUUUUCUGUACAUAGCAGUCACAACUGUAUCCAGGUCACAUCAAAGGAAUGACAGUUUCUCACUCCCUGGAAUUCUACUGAAUGGAGGGAGGUGUCAUUAAUUAAGAUUGUCACAGCUUCCAAGACACUGAAGUGACAGGCCUAAAAUUUUAUACAUAUUCAUUGGUAAGUAUAAAGUCUUUGAAAAUUACAAAAUUGACUAAUUCUGGGAGAGGUAAAUAUGUAAGUAUAGGAAUGAGAGUACCAAAUCCCCGGAUGAGCACAUGGCGUUGUUUGUGGCACAAUGUAGAGUCGAGUACUGAAUAGGUUGGCAUUACCUGAUUGGCUGAAAUGAGCACUAUAGAGGACUUUCAUCUUUCAGCUUCCUCGGCCCCGGGAGAGUUGGGUACCUGCUCAGCGAGGGCAUUUUCUCUAUACAAGAAGAAGACGGAGACUCGCUACCCACCCGAUAUAUUUUGUCGGACAGUUUUCUGUACAUAGCAGUCACAACUGUAUCCAGGUCACAUCAAAGGAAUGACAGUUUCUCACUCCCUGGAAUUCUACUGAAUGGAGGGAGGUGUCAUUAAUUAAGAUUGUCACAGCUUCCAAGACACUGAAGUGACAGGCCUAAAAUUUUAUACAUAUUCAUUGGUAAGUAUAAAGUCUUUGAAAAUUACAAAAUUGACUAAUUCUGGGAGAGGUAAAUAUGUAAGUAUAGGAAUGAGAGUACCAAAU